AUUUUCGCCGUUGCUGCUAUUUGCUGCUCGACAUACGCCAAGUAACUUUGAUUCCAGCGUUUUUUUCGCCUAUCAUCAUUAAUGGAUCUCUCCCCACGGUUUCCUGAAUGUCAAGUUAAGUGUAAAGAAUUCACUACAGGAGCUCCAAGACAGUCUAUAAUAAAAAUGCACACUCUGACAUCUAAUGGUUCCCUCGACGAAACAACCAGAAUCAGCAGUACCUGUACAGUUUAAUAAAUCUUUAUCUAACCUUAAGUUUCACAAACUUUAGGAAUUGCGUUGAAACAUUUUUUUCAUAGUGUUUAACUUAAAAAAAAAAAAACAAUGAUAGAAGUUUCAUCCAAGCGGUUCCCGAAAAAACGCUGGAGGCCGCUUUUUCAACUUUUUGCUGUUGGUAUAACUUUGGUUUUGUAUCUUUCUUAUUUUUAUUCUACAUCGACCAGUACCAAAAAGACAAGUCAUAGCAAUGAAUGGAAUAAGUUUUUGAAUUUUGAGACAAAAGGAUACAAGUUGGUGCCUUCACGACAUCUGCUUCAAACAAGGAAUCAUAAUAGUAGUGAACCAACCAAACAACCGCCUCAGUUUCCAGAAGACCUGUUCACUGAGCAACAGCGUAAGCACGGGGCAGUGAUUUUUCACGUCCUCGGACUUGUUUACAUGUUCGUUGGUUUGUCCAUUGUGUGUGACGAGUUCUUCGUUCCUACUCUGGACGUGAUCACAGAAAAACUCCAGAUAUCUGAGGAUGUGGCAGGUGCUACCUUCAUGGCAGCUGGAGGGAGUGCACCUGAGCUAUUCACUAGCAUCAUCGGUGUUUUCAUCUCGUUUGAUGAUGUCGGAAUUGGUACCAUCGUGGGGUCGGCUGUCUUCAACAUCCUCUUUGUAAUUUCCAUGUGUGCCAUUUUCAGCAAGGACGUACUGCAACUGACGUGGUGGCCUCUCUUCCGAGACGUUAGUUUUUAUUCCAUUAUAUUAAUAAUCCUUAUGGCAUUUUUCAAUGACAAUAUAAUUCACUGGUACGAAGCCACGGUUCUUUUUUUAUGUUACAUUGCUUACGUGUCCUUCAUGAAGUUCAACUCACAAGUCGAGCAUUUCGUGAAGAGGAUUUUAAAUAGAAAUAAAGUAAAGAAAGUGCGCAGCACAGAUCAUUUGAUGGCAGGUUUGAGUAGAAGGCGUAUGAGUCGACCUAUCCUUCACUCUGGCAGCAAGUUUCGCCAAGGUCUACUACAGUUGAUGAUACACUCUAUCGACCCCAUGCAUGAUGGAAAAAUUGAUGAGAAAGCAUCGCAGCUACACGCCAUUGCCUCAUUGCGUGUUUUGUUGGAAGCAACAAAGCCUCGAAGCACAGAGAAAUCAAACGGCAGCACUGUAAGUUACAGACCUCCGUCUGGUGACAAAUUAUGCACAGCGUGUGCUAUUUGUUCUACUUGUGCUACUUACGCGAAUUGCUCCUGUAAAAAUGUUCAUCCUGUAACAAUUACCGUUUCAUCAACAGACGUCCAUAAUUGUACACCCAAGGAUGGUACAGAAAUCAUUUCCGUAGAUGAAACCGAACUUGGUGAGGAUAAAGACAAGGAUUCUCAUGACAGAGAGCUAGGUAACAUGGUGCCUCUCUCACCUUUGUCUGGUAGUGAACUCAACGAAAGUAUUACAGAUUUGGGCCAGAUAUCUAGAGAUUCUAACGACAAAAGGAAGUUCGAGUGUAUUGCUAGCGGAAGCACACCCAACAACGUGUGUACAAUAACUACUGACUCUGGAUCAGCUGCUGUCCUUGAGUUAUGUUCUGCUCCGGAGGUACAACAAAUAGAAGUCUUGCAACAAGAAGAGCCAUUAGACAUGAGCUGGCCCACCACUUGGCGGAAAAGACUGAACUACGUUCUUGUGGCUCCAAUUAUCUUUCCUUUAUGGCUCACCCUGCCAGAUGUGCGACGGAAGGAGAAACGCAAGUAUUUCCCAGCAUGCUUUUUAGGCAGCAUACUCUGGAUUGCCAUUUUUUCGUAUUUAAUGGUCUGGUGGGCCUCUUUGACUGGUCAAGCUGCAGGAAUACCAAAUGAGGUGAUGGGCUUGACUUUCCUAGCUGCUGGUACAAGUAUUCCAGAUCUUAUUACAAGUGUUCUUGUUGCCCGCAAAGGGUUUGGUGAUAUGGCCGUUUCAAGUUCAAUCGGAAGCAACAUAUUUGAUGUUGCCGUAGGGGUUAAACCCAAAGUGUCCCGAUAUGAGCUUAUAUUCACCUGACAACAUGGCAACACCUGAAAGAGAAAAGUUUCUGUUCUGGUACCGACAGCACCGAGAGGAAAAGUACAUCUUUGACUUUCAAUAUGAGAUGUAUAGAUAUUGUUGAUCAAAUGUUAACAUACUCCGUUGGUGUUGGUUAGAGCUCAGAGAUGAAUUUCUCGCCAGCUGCGAUAUUGACCCUUUCAAGUAUACGACUAUUGCUUCUGUUUGCAUGACCAUAUACAGAGGCAAGUUUAUACAAUUAAAGUUCAUAGCACUUGCACCUAACCACGGAUACACUACAACUAACAACUAUAGUCAGGUAAGUAAACAGUGGUUAUACUACAUGUCUGACGGUGUUAAUAUCCAACAUGCCCUUAAUGGUAGCGAAGUUAAAAUAUUAAAUCAUAGUGUUGAUGGCUCCUGUAGUCGUUGUUGUUGUUUGUAAUUAAGCACAA
rnacentral:misc_RNA from 1 species